ACGGAGGAUGCAAGCGUUAUCCGGAUUCAUUGGGUUUAAAGGGUGCGCAGGCGGAUUGGUAAGUCAGGGGUGAAAUCCCACAGCUCAACUGUGGAACUGCCUUUGAUACUGUCAGUCUAGAGUAUAGUUGAAGUUGGCGGAAUGUGUCAUGUAGCGGUGAAAUGCUUAGAUAUGACACAGAACACCGAUGGCGAAGGCAGCUAACUGGGCUAUAACUGACGCUCAGGCACGAAAGCGUGGGGAGCGAACAG
rnacentral:rRNA from 1 species